GACGAACGCUGGCGGCGUGCUUAACACAUGCAAGUCGAGCGGUAAGGCCCUUUCGGGGGUACACGAGCGGCGAACGGGUGAGUAACACGUGGGUGACCUGCCUUUAGCUCUGGGAUAAGCCUGGGAAACUGGGUCUAAUACCGGAUAUGACUCCGCGGUGCAUGCUGUGGGGUGGAAAGCCUUGUGCGGCUGGAGAUGGGCCCGCGGCCUAUCAGCUUGUUGGUGGGGUGAUGGCCUACCAAGGCGACGACGGGUAGCCGGCCUGAGAGGGCGACCGGCCACACUGGGACUGAGACACGGCCCAGGCUCCUACGGGAGGCAGCAGUGGGGAAUCUUGCGCAAUGGGCGAAAGCCUGACGCAGCGACGCCGCGUGAGGGAUGACGGCCU
rnacentral:rRNA from 1 species